CCGGACCCGACACCGACCAUGGAGGAGCACGAUCUCGCUCAAUCACCAAAGCAAAAGGCAAUAAAAAGAACAAAAUAAUCUUAGUUUUUACAAAGGAUCAAUAAAUAAAACAAAU